AAUGGAACGAAUACCGAUCACGAAGUGAGCCUUGCAACCGGCAAGAGCCUUCUAACAUGUUAUACAGCUUCUCCGCGUACUUAUGCCAACUUAUUAUCGAGGCCGCGAGAUAUGCUGGCAAUUAGAUGUGUUGAAAUAACGCGUUGUCACGGUGAGCGUGGAUUCUGAUUGCUCGGGAAAUAAUUACUGGCUGUAACGCAUGACGACUAAUGUGAAUAAUGUAAAUCGACAUACUUUAACGACCUCGGCUUUAUUCUCUCAGCAUUAUUUUCAAGGACAAGAAUGUUUCCCUGAAGGAAUGAGUUUGACUCGGCUAAUUUAAUCUUUUUUUUUCACGUAUGCUAAUUUCCGAAGAGGGCGCCCCCCGGAAGGUCCGAAACACUAAACGAGACUUGUUCUUGAUUUGACUUCAGACACCGAAAAAAAAAACACUCACUAUAUUGUGACUUUCUCUAUACGCGGAACAAUGCGUGCGCCUAACUCAAGCAAC